rnacentral:rRNA from 1 species
GGGAGGCAGCAGUAGGGAAUUAUUGGGCAAUGGAGGCAACUCUGACCCAGCCAUGCCGCGUGCAGGAAGACGGCCCUCUGGGUUGUAAACUGCUUUUAAGUAGGAGGAAAGUGCAGCUUGCGAGCUGUUUUGACGUUACUACUAGAAUAAGCCACGGCUAACUACGUGCCAGCAGCCGCGGUAAUACGUAGGUGGCGAGCGUUAUCCGGAUUUAUUGGGUUUAAAGGGUGCGUAGGCGGCUUAAUAAGUCAGUGGUUAAAGGUAGCAGCUUAACUGUUUUACAUGCCAUUGAUACUGUUUAGCUUGAGUUAUCAGAAGGUAGAUGGAAUUCCUGGUGUAGCGGUGAAAAUGCUUAGAUACCAGGAGGAACACCGAUUUGCGAAGGCAUUCUACUGCAGAUAAACUGACGCU